UGAUAAAAUGCCAUCUUCAAGGAAGU
rnacentral:piRNA from 1 species